GUCAUUUUCACUCAAAAUCCGCCAUGUUUUUGGCUUCACUUGGUUGACUGAACGAAGUAUAGGAGCAGGUCCUCCAGUUAUUAUACAGCUCAGUGGUGCGAAUCGGAUGUAAACAAACAAGAUGGCGGCCGGACACGUGAAAAUAUUUGGGAAUUUUGCUGCUAGUAAAAGCGCGCAUUUUUUAAUUAUUUUAAGAAAACCUUCGCUAGGAAAAAUACUGUUACUGUAAAAUACAUGGUCGUCUUUGUUUAAGGACUUUGUCAUAUCGAAUUUGACAAAAACGUUUAUGGAUUUUCACAAAAGGUAUGUUUUAAAUUAUUACAGUAAAAUGUUUUCAGUUUUCUGAGAUGGUGAUGACAGUAGACACUGGCAACUACAAACUAGUUCUAUCAUUUUAG
rnacentral:lncRNA from 1 species